CAAAAACAUCGCCUCCUGCAACACAACCAAGUAUAGGAGGUCCAGCCUGCCCAGUGACUACAAGUUCAACGGCCGCGGUAUUUUGACCGUGCAAAGGUAGCGCAAUCACUUGUCUCUUAAAUGGAGACCUGUAUGAAUGGCUAAACGAGGGCUUAACUGUUUCCCCCCUCCAGUCAGUGAAAUUGAUCUAUCCGUGCAGAAGCGGGUAUAAUAAUACAAGACGAGAAGACCCUUUGGAGCUUAAGGUACAAGAAUCAGCCACGUCAAGCAACUUAAUAAAGAGCAAAAACUUUGUGGACAAUGAUUUUUUACCUUCGGUUGGGGCGACCACGGAGGAAAAAAGAGCCUCCAGGUGGACUGGGAAAACAUCCUAAAGCUAAGAGAGACAUCUCUAGGCCGCAGAACAUCUGACCAAUCAUGAUCCGGCUGACAAAGCCGAUCAACGAACCAAGUUACCCUAGGGAUAACAGCGCAAUCCUCUCCCAGAGUCCAUAUCGACGAGGGGGUUUACGACCUCGAU
rnacentral:rRNA from 1 species